UGUUAUACUUAUUAUAAAAUAAUUGAUGCCUGAUUAGUAAAAGUUAUGUGCUCUAAAUUCAAAGAAUUUGGCGGCUUUUUAAUCUUAUUAGGGGAACCUGUUCUUUAAACGAUAAUCCACGUAAUAUCUUACCUAUUUUGAUAUUAGUUUGUAUACCGUCAUUUAAGUAACUUUUGUAGAAGUAGUUAUUAGAAUAAUUUUAUGUAGUUAAAAUGUUAGAUCAAGGUGCAGCAUAUGAGUAGGUUAGAAUGGGUUACAAUAAAAGUUUAUUUAUAACGGAAAAAACGUUGAAUAAUGUUUUUUAAGGAGGAC
rnacentral:rRNA from 1 species